GACGAACGCUGGCGGCGUGCCUAAUACAUGCAAGUCGAACGCAGUGGGGACGGGUGAGUAACACGUGGGUAACCUCCCAUCAGAGGGGAUAACCCUUGGAAACAGGUGCUCAACCGAUACUGGUGGAUGCACCCGAGGUGCAUUAGCUAGGUGGUGGGGUAACGGCUCACCAGGGCCACGAUGCAUAGCCGCUCUGAGAGGGGGAGCGGCCACACUGUGACUGGGACACGGCCCAGACGCCUACGGGAGGCAGCAGGAGGGAAGCUUCGGCAAUGGACGAAAGUCUGACCGAGCAACGCCGCGUGAGUGAAGAAGGUUUGCGGAUCGUAAAACUCUGUUGUUAGAGAAGCGGUAUCUAACCAGAAAGCCACGGCUAACUACGUGCCAGCAGCCGCGGUGAUAC
rnacentral:rRNA from 1 species